GACGUAGGGGACGAGCGUUGUCCGGAUUCAUUGGGCGUAAAGAGCGUGUAGGCGGCCAGGUAGGUCGGUUGUGAAAACUGGAGGCUCAACCUUCAGAGGUCGACCGAAACCAUCUGGCUAGAGUCCGGGAGAGGAGAGUGGAAUUCCUGGUGUAGCGGUGAAAUGCGCAGAUAUCAGGAAGAACACCCGUGGCGAAAGCGGCUCUCUGGAACGGUACUGACGCUGAGACGCGAAAGCGUGGGGAGCGAACAGG
rnacentral:rRNA from 1 species